AACGUCUAGCUAAUCCCUGUACACCUUGACAUUCUAAUUUCUAAGUAAAUUGGACCAUAUAUCAAACAUAUUAGUGUAGGGGAGCUCGCGUGCACAGAUCUCGGUUUAAAGAAAGUCGGAUUGUCAUUUAAUGUUAGUAUAUAGCUACGUUAGCUAUGCGAGGCUGGGCAGUUGUGAUAUGCUUUAAACACAACAUUAAAUACAACCGAUAACAUACUUCACUUGAAAAAUGAGCAAACACAAAUUUAGCCAAGCUACUGCCUGAAUGUCUGCCAGUCUUACUUCUGGAGUGCCGAUGGCCCUGCGUGGUGGAUCACGAGGCUUGCUGGCUCAAGGACAGUGGCUUGGGUGGAAUCUCAGGAUCUCGUCAUUCAAAGCCGCGUGGUUUUUCUUGUUGCUGGUACGGCGAAGGGAUUCUUCCGUACUUUCGGGGAGCCAUUACGGGAACUGGAAGCUGGUUCGUUGUCUCGGGAAGAUGACAGUGACGGUGCCAAAACAUCUAAUGAACAAGGGAUGGGCCAGGAAGCAGCUCUCCGAUCUGGCUAAGCAGCCACGCAUGCCUGAACCAUGACACUGCCUCCUUCAUAUUUCACAGAAGAGGGGGGAAUGUUCUUUCCUUUCUCCAAACUUGCUUUCCAUAAUUUAGGAUUAAUGGAAUGCAGACUUCACAAGAAGUUGACACAAGAGGGACCACAGCUAAGCUUCCUCCGAAUGGUGCUUUUGUGCCAAAAACCCCCUGCUUAAAUCAUGCUAGAUGCUCCCCAAGCCUUACUCAGCUAGUCCACACCCGGGGCCCAGUCUAGCACGUCUCGCCUGCUCUAUCUGUAGGGGAGUGAAUACUGAUGGCAAAUGUGGUCCACUGGAGUACGUAGAACAGUGGCCUCCAACCCUGGUCCUGGAGAGCUACAGGGUCUGCUGGUUUUUGUUUUCACCUUAAAAUCAGCACCCA